rnacentral:rRNA from 1 species
AUUGAACGCUGGCGGCAUGCUUUACACAUGCAAGUCGAACGGUAACAGGCCGCAAGGUGCUGACGAGUGGCGAACGGGUGAGUAAUGCAUCGGAACGUGCCCAGUCGUGGGGGAUAACUACUCGAAAGAGUAGCUAAUACCGCAUACGAUCUAUGGAUGAAAGCGGGGGACCGUAAGGCCUCGCGCGAUUGGAGCGGCCGAUGUCAGAUUAGGUAGUUGGUGGGGUAAAGGCUCCCCAAGCCAACGAACUGUAGCUGGUCUGAGAGGACGACCAGCCACACUGGAACUGAGACACGGCCCAGACUCCUACGGGAGGCAGCAGUGGGGAAUUUUGGACAAUGGGCGCAAGCCUGAUCCAGCAAUGCCGCGUGCAGGAAGAAGGCCUUCGGGUUGUAAACUGCUUUUGUACGGAACGAAACGGCUCUGGUUAAUACCCGGGGCUAAUGACGGUACCGUAAGAAUAAGCACCGGCUAACUACGUG